ensembl:snRNA U6 U6 spliceosomal RNA
CUGCUUGCUUCGGCAGCACAUAUACUAUAAGCAAACACAUACACUAAACUUGGAAAGAUACAGAGAAGAUUAGCGUGGGUGCUGCACAGGAAUGACAGGCAAAUUCAUGAAGUGAUCCAUAUUUAU